rnacentral:rRNA from 1 species
GACGAGCGCUGGCGGCGUGCCUAAUACAUGCAAGUCGUGCGGACCUUGUUGAAAGCUUGCUUUUAAAAGGUUAGCGGCGGACGGGUGAGUAACACGUGGGCAACCUGCCUGUAAGACUGGGAUAACGCCGGGAAACCGGGGCUAAUACCAGAUCGUUUUUUCCUCCGCAUGGAGGAAAAAGGAAAGGCGGCUUCGGCUGCCACUUACAGAUGGGCCCGCGGCGCAUUAGCUAGUUGGCGGGGUAAUGGCCCACCAAGGCAACGAUGCGUAGCCGACCUGAGAGGGUGAUCGGCCACAUUGGGACUGAGACACGGCCCAAACUCCUACGGGAGGCAGCAGUAGGGAAUCUUCCGCAAUGGACGAAAGUCUGACGGAGCAACGCCGCGUGAGUGAAGAAGGCCUUCGGGUCGUAAAACUCUGUUGCCGGGGAAGAACAAGUGCCGUUCGAACAGGGCGGCGCCUUGACGGUACCCGGCCAGAAAGCCACGGCUAACUACGUG